AAUAUUAUAAAAAGGAAUUUCCCCACUAGACAAAAUAAAUUUAAUUAACAAACGAUCAGAAAAUUGUCAACAACAACAGCAACAACGCAAGCACAAAAUAAAAACAACAAACUUUGUUAUCAACAAGCGACGACAACAGCAUUUUUUGUUUUCGCAUUUUUGUGUUCUUCUAUUCGUGGGCAGCCGGCAGCGUUUGUUGCUGUGUUGUUAUAGCAAUUUCAGUCCCUGUCAUUGUUGUUGCUGUUGUUCUCUGGUCUUGUCUUGUCGGCUGCCUAUCUGAUGAAUUCUUGUGUUUUUUACAGACUGUGAAAAAAAAGAAUAAUCAAACGAAAAACCCCCAACAAAAAAACUUAAGCAAAGGAAAUGAGCGCACUCAUGAAGAAAACAAACUGCUAAAAAUCAAAAGAUAAAAUAAAAUACUACAAGGCGCAGAGAAAGAAAACAAAAAUAAUACACGAAAGAGAGAAAUAAACGCAAAUGCGAAAAAACCAAACACCGAGUAAAAAAGCAAAAGCAAGAUAACCGCAAUGCGGCAUUUGGGAAACGGGUACGAAACGGUUGGCACAAAGAGCAACACACAAAAAUAUAAAACAGAUGGAAAGGAAUAUCGAGAGAAAGAAAGCGUGGCGAAAAUCAAGCACACACUUUGCGCUGCUGCACAUACACGCAGAAUAGUCAUGUGUGUGUUUGCGUGUAUGUUUGCCUGCAAAACAACAAAAGCCCGCCGUCAUCGAACCAACAGCGAGCGACACGUAGUCGUCGUCUUCGUGUUGUGCAAAAGAAGAAAGCUCAAAAAGUGGUUGUUUUUGAUUCAUAACAACAACAACAGCAGCAACAAAUACACACAACAGGCAAAGGUGGCGCAUACCCACAAUGGAAUGUCGCAGGAGAAUGUUCAAAAUGCACAGACAGACGAUAAAGGCAACGAUAAUGAAGGAGAACCAUAUAAAUAAGUGGAGAGAGAGCAAAUGAAUAAAAGAGAGACCCAAAAAGGAAAACAAAAUGUAAGCCAAACGGUUUGUAAUCAACUAACCGUUUCGCUCUCUUAUAAAUAAAAAUGGGGAAAAGAGCAAAUUCUAAAGAAAUUUUUGUUAAGAGAACCGAAACUGCGGCAAUGACACAAAACACAACCACAUAUGCACACACACACACGCACAAAAAACAACACAUUUUUUGUCAUCUGAAAUUCUUGUGCCUUUUAAGUUUUGAAAUAACCUCAUUUUUGCAUUUCAUUUCCAAAUAAAAGUAGGCAAUAAACAUUUGCCAAUAAGAAAAAGGUACACAAAGUAGCCAGUUAUAUUUCAUAGGUACUUUCGUGAGAAGGAAAUAUGAAAAAAAAAAACGACACAAACACAAUGUUGUUCAAACUACUCCACCCUUUUUUUUCAUCAUAUCUCCUUAUGUCAAAUGACACUAAGUGUGCUUCCUCGUUUUACACAGCUCAAAACGAUAGUGGGGAACAUUUUCACCACACCCUUUAAUUUCCAUGUAUGGACAAACAGGUUUUUUGCUGUUUAACUUUUGUGUACUGGCCAUUGGUUAGAAAAAAAAUUAACAAACUAUAUAGGCGUACGGAGGGCCUGGUGUGCCAAACACAUAUAGAAAAAAGAGCAAUCUUGAAUGAGCAGAAAAAAUAGCUCAAUGACUUGUUAAAAGAGAAAUAAGAAAAAUUCUCCCAUUAUUAAAACAUCUGGCCAGAUGGGGUCUUAACACAGGAAAACGUGUUUCUUCUCGGGCUGAGGAAAAGUUCUGGAAUACCAUCUUCUCCAAAGAAGUUUUGCGUAGUUUGCAAAUACCCAAUUAAGGUAUUUGGGCAAAACGGACAGACUUCUCACAUCGUGGCGAGCAAAUAUUACAAAAAAAAAUCAAGGCAGACGGUAACAAGUCAAGUAUUGAAAGAUUGUAGUCGUUUUUUUUUUUUUUGUUGCUGUCUCUGUAUAACGGUAGGAAACUUUAACUUCGCUUUCAUUUUUUUUUUCUCAAUUAAAUUUUAUAUAUUUUCUCGUCUCGUAGGUGCAAAUUUUUUCAAGUUUCUUUUUUUUCUUUUCUUUUCCAUUUUUUUUUUAAUUAAAAGGUGAGUAAUAAUGAUAUAUACCCGCUAUAUUUUAUUUUUUAGAAUAUAUAUUUUCUUUUUUUUGGUUUUUUUAGAGAGAAUGGAGAGGUUUCGUCCGAAUUUUUUUUCAAAUU